UACGUAGGGGCCAAGCGUUGUCCGGAUUUAUUGGGCGUAAAGAGCUCGUAGGCGGUUGGGUAAGUCGGGUGUGAAAACUCCAGGCUCAACUUGGAGAUGCCACCCGAUACUGCUCUGACUUGAGUUCGGUAGGGGAGUGGGGAAUUCCUGGUGUAGCGGUGAAAUGCGCAGAUAUCAGAAGGAACACCGGUGGCGAAGGCGCCACUCUGGGCCGAAACUGACGCUGAGGAGCGAAAGCGUGGGUAGCAAACAGG
rnacentral:rRNA from 1 species